ACUGUUUUGCUUGUUAAAAUCAGUGUCCUUGUUCCCUAGGGAUCAGCAGGCUGCUGCCCAGCAGGGAGAACUGUGCUCUGAAGAAGACAGUUAUGAUGUGAUGUCCCAAAGAUUCAAAGGGUUUCCCUUUCUCAACUCUUCUCUGGAGCCUGCCCCGCCAGGAAUAUGAGUCUCAAGAUGAAAGCUCCUCCUCAGGUAACACCAGGCUACUGUGAACUGCUGCUGAGUGGAGGUUGACCAGAGCUGUGAAGAUCCCUUUCCCCAAGAGUUGAUGGUUCCAGAUGAGGAGUGCUAACUGGAACAAGAAAUAUGGAUUUCAGAGGGAAUCUUGUCAGAACCCACACACAGGAGUUUGACAAUCUCAUCACUGCCAUUUUAAGGCCACUAUCACCUCUUUCCAAAAUGCCUCUGUCCUAGAGCACUCCCAAGGCACAUCCUGGAGAGUUCACUUCCUCACGUGUCACACAUGUAUUUUUGUCCUUGUGAAAAUGGAUUUGGAGCUCUGGACAAGAUU